UACGAAGGGGGGCUAGCGUUGUUCGGAAUCACUGGGCGUAAAAGCGCACGUAGGCGGAUCUUUAAGUCAGGGGUGAAAUCCCGAGGCUCAACCUCGGAACUGCCUUUGAUACUGGGGAUCUCGAGUCCGGGAGAGGUGAGUGGAACUGCGAGUGUAGAGGUGAAAUUCGUAGAUAUUCGCAAGAACACCAGUGGCGAAGGCGGCUCACUGGCCCGGAACUGACGCUGAGGUGCGGAAAGCGUGGGGAGCAA
rnacentral:rRNA from 1 species